rnacentral:rRNA from 1 species
CGCGGUGAAUACGUUCCCGGACCUUGUACACACCGCCCCGUCAAGCCAUGGAAGCCGGUGUACCUAAAGUCGGUAACCGCAAGGAGCCGCCUAGGUAAACUAGGUGACUGGGGCU